rnacentral:rRNA from 1 species
ACGGGUGAGUAACACGUGAGUAACCUGCCCUUGACUCUGGGAUAAGCCUGGGAAACUGGGUCUAAUACCGGAUACGACCAUCUGGCGCGUGUCAUGGUGGUGGAAAGCUUUUGUGGUUUUGGAUGGACUCGCGGCCUAUCAGCUUGUUGGUGGGGUAAUGGCCUACCAAGGCGACGACGGGUAGCCGGCCUGAGAGGGUGACCGGCCACACUGGGACUGAGACACGGCCCAGACUCCUACGGGAGGCAGCAGUGGGGAAUAUUGCACAAUGGGCGCAAGCCUGAUGCAGCGACGCCGCGUGAGGGAUGACGGCCUUCGGGUUGUAAACCUCUUUCAGUAGGGAAGAAGCCGUAAGGUGACGGUACCUGCAGAAGAAGCGCCGGCUAACUACGUGCCAGCAGCCGCGGUAAUACGUAGGGCGCAAGCGUUAUCCGGAAUUAUUGGGCGUAAAGAGCUCGUAGGCGGUUUGUCGCGUCUGCUGUGAAAGACCGGGGCUCAACUCCGGUUCUGCAGUGGGUACGGGCAGACUAGAGUGCAGUAGGGGAGACUGGAAUUCCUGGUGUAGCGGUGAAAUGCGCAGA